GUAGAUACUGCUCAGCGGUAAAGAGCGUGUUUAGCAUGCACGAGGUCCUGGGUUCAAUCCCCAGUACCUCCA
rnacentral:tRNA from 1 species